CGCACAUAAGACAUGCAAGUCGAACGGAAGUACGUAAUAAAAAUAGAACGAAGAUUUAUCAGAGUGAAGUUUUAUUACAAUGGCUUUAGUGGCGGACUGGUGAGUAAUGUAUAAGUAACCUGCCUAUCAGAGGGGAACAACAGUUGGAAACGACUGCUAAUACCGCAUAUGCCAUAAUGGAGACAUCUUCAUAGUGGGAAAGGAGCAAUCCGCUGAUAGAUGGACUUAUAUCUGAUUAGCUAGUUGGUGGGGUAACGGCCUACCAAGGCGACGAUCAGUAGCCGAACUGAGAGGUUAAACGGCCACAUUGGGACUGAGAUACGGCCCAGACUCCUACGGGAGGCAGCAGUCGGGAAUAUUGCGCAAUGGAGGAAACUCUGAACCGCAGUGACGCCGCGUGCAGGAAGAAGGUUUUCGGAUUGUAAACUGCUUUAGACAGGGAAGAAAAAGACAGUACCUGUAGAAUAAGCUCCGGCUAACUACGUGCCAGCCGCAGC
rnacentral:rRNA from 1 species